AUGAAUACAGAGCCUAAGCAUUGGGCUAGAGCAUUCUUUCCAGUUGGAUCGCUAUGUGACUCAGUGGAUAAUAAUCUAUGUGAGUCCUCCAACAAUGCUAUAAUUGAGGCCAGAUUCUAUCCUAUCAUCUCUAUGCUAGAGAAGAUUAGGCACAAGAUGACACUUAGAGUUCAAGAGAACAUAACCAAAACUGACAAGUGGACUGCUAAGAUAUGCCCAAACAUUUUCAAGAAACUUAAGGUGGCCAUCAAAUUAACUCAGUUCUGUGAUGUGCUCUGGAAUGGUAAGGAAGGGUUUGAAGUAAAACAUGUUAGUGGCAGAGGAAGGAGUUAUACUGUGAAUUUGGAUAAAUGGACUUGUUCUUGUGGAUACUUUCAACUGGCAGGGCUACCUUGUUGCCAUGCCAUCAGUGCCAUAUACAAGUGCGGAAAAAAUGUAUCAGACUUCAUUCACAAAUGUUAUUCAAUUGAGCAAUUUACCUGGUUAUGUGAGUAUGCCAGGUAG
rnacentral:rRNA from 1 species